rnacentral:lncRNA from 1 species
GCCUUGUUCGGUUGGGCCGUUCCCGGCCGGGAUCGGGGCCCAAUCCCCGUGGAUCACCUCGGCAAGGAAAAAAUCCCGGCCCAUGUGAAAUUGUGCAUUCGGUUAAGCCCUGACGUGGAUUUUAGCCUGGCCCACCACGGGGUUUCCCUCUUCUCUAGGCCCGGGAAAAAAUCAUCUACUCCUGGGGCGUGGAAAAUUUCCUCGGCGGCGCAACGAAGACGCGACGGAGGGGGCGGCGCGCGGCGCGACCUGGAGGCGAUGGCGACAGCGACGGGAAGGCUCUCUCCUCCGGCCGCCACCUUCUCUCCGAGAUGGGAACACUGCAGCUGGUGACUGAAGCUCAUGGUGGCAUUAGCGCUAAGCUUAAACACUUGCAUUCAAUUUGUAGUUUAGCUCCUAGCUGGCUACUUCUAUUUAUUCUAAAAAAACAACUGAACUGUAACCAUUUUGAUUACUUUGUGACACUUUCAUGUAUGCAUUUGUGAACGUACAGCAUGCAUGUGUGUUUUCCCUGUACUUAAACAAUGUUUUUUUUACCGGAUUUGAUCUGAGAGAAUGCAUAUUGUU